GACUACGUAGCUCAAUAGGCUAGAGCGCAAGUCUGUCACACUUGAGGGAGCGAGUUCAAAUCUCGCCGUAGCCG
rnacentral:tRNA from 1 species